GACGAACGCUGGCGGCGUGCUUAACACAUGCAAGUCGAACGGAAAGGCCCUGCUUUUGUGGGGUGCUCGAGUGGCGAACGGGUGAGUAACACGUGAGUAACCUGCCCUUGACUUUGGGAUAACUUCAGGAAACUGGGGCUAAUACCGGAUAGGAGCUCCUGCUGCAUGGUGGGGGUUGGAAAGUUUCGGCGGUUGGGGAUGGACUCGCGGCUUAUCAGCUUGUUGGUGGGGUAGUGGCUUACCAAGGCUUUGACGGGUAGCCGGCCUGAGAGGGUGACCGGCCACAUUGGGACUGAGAUACGGCCCAGACUCCUACGGGAGGCAGCAGUGGGGAAUAUUGCACAAUGGGCGGAAGCCUGAUGCAGCAACGCCGCGUGCGGGAUGACGGCCUUCGGGUUGUAAACCGCUUUCGCCUGUGACGAAGCGUGAGUGACGGUAAUGGGUAAUGAAGCACCGGCUAACUACGUG
rnacentral:rRNA from 1 species